UUACAUUGUACACUUUUGUAAUUUUUUUCAAAUUGGUUAAUAACACAUAACUUACGUUUAUAUAUUUUUGUGCCUUUCAUAGUAUUAACUUUUUUUUUAUUUUUCUGAUUUAUAAAAUUUGCGGUUUUUUUUUUUUUUUUUUUUUUUUUAAAACUAUUUUUCAUAAAUAUAUUAAAUAAAUUACUUACACACGUCCCUGCUACUUGGUUCGUUCUGAGUUAUGUCACAUUAUCAAUUUACUCAAUAGAAAUAAUAAUAUACCUUUCUACUAAUUAUAUAUACAUGUACGUAUCGUAUGUAUGUAUGUAUGUAUAUACGGACAUACAUUCACAAACACAUGUCUAAACAUAUAUAACAAAAAGUAAAAUUUAUAAUUAUACACAUAUAGUUUUGUACAAACAACUGUUGACCCAUAUGUUAACAAAUUUUUGUAUACAUUUAUAUUGUUUCUGAGUAACAAAAAAAAAAAAAAUAAAAAUAAAAUAAAAAAAAAAAAUUAUGCAUACUACCUAAGUUUAAAUUAACUAUAACAAACUUAAUAAAAAUAUAAAAAACAUGUCAUUAACAAAAGAAGAAGAACUUGAGGAAUUACACAAUAAAAUAAUUGACAAUACGAUAAAAAACUGUAGUGACUUUUAUAAUGUACGCAUCUUAGAGGCUAUAAAAAUUAGAUGGCAAAAAAUAUACAAAGAAAAAUUAAAAAAUAUCGAACAUAAUUUAAAACAAAAAAAUGAAGAAUCUAACAAAAACCAAACUAACAUAACUGCUAACAACUCUAAUGAUGAUGACGAUGACGAUGAGUUUGAGGAUGCUGAAGUUGAAGAAAAAAAAAUGGUCUCUUUUCCUGAACAAAUUGACGAUGGCGAUGAUAAUACAGAAUUGAACGAGUUAGAUAACAUUUCCAUCAGUGACCUGAGUGAUGUAGACCCACCAACAGACAAUAUCAUAGUCGGUAUUUGUGAUAAAGUAAGAACGAAUGACAAUAAUAUUUACAAAAAGAAAUCUUUCGUUUAUACGAGCAAAA
rnacentral:lncRNA from 1 species